CCGAUUCAUGUGGAACACGACCAGGGAAUUUAAGUGCCAACGAUUUUUCGUUGGCUGUUGCCCUGUCUAAAAAACAGGAGAGUAAGGGCUGGGUAAGACGGGUGCCAGCCGCCGCGGUAAUACCCGCGGCCCAAGUGGUGCUCGUUAUUAUUGGGUUUAAAACGUCCGUAGCCGGGCCGGUAAAUUCUUGGGUAAAUCGACUGGCCUAACCAGUCGAAUUCCGGGGAGACUGCCGGCCUUGGACCGGGGGAGGGUCGGAGGUACUUCCAGGGUAGGGGUGAAAUCCUGUAAUCCUGGGAGGACCACCAGUGGCGAAGGCGUCCGACCAGAACGGCUCCGACGGUAAGGGACGAAGCCCUGGGGCGCAAACGGGAUUAGAUACCCCGGUAGUCCAGGGUGUAAACGCUGCAGGCUUGGUGUCGGGGGUCCUAUGAGGGCGCUCGGUGCCGGAGUGAAAAUGUUAAGCCUGCUACCUGGGGAGUACGGUCGCAAGACUGAAACUUAAAGGAAUUUGGCGGGGGAGCACCGCAACGGGUGGAGCGUGCGGUUUAAUUUGGAUUCAACGCCGUAAAACUCACCGGGGGCGACGGUUAUAUGAAGGCCAAGCUGAUGACUUUUGCCCAAUUUUCCGAGAGGUGGUGCAUGGCCGUCGUCAGUUCGUACCGUAAGGCGUUCUGUUAAGUCAGAUAACGAACAAGACCCCUACCGCCAAUUGCCACGCUGUCCUCCGGGACAGCAGCACAUUGUUGGGACCGCUGGUGCUAAACCAGAGGAAGGAGGGGGCAACGAUAGGUCAGUAUGCCCCGAAUCCCCCGGGCUACACGCGCGCUACAAAGGCCAGGACAUGGGCUCCUACCCCGAGAGGGGAAGGCAAUCCCGAAACCUGGUCAUAGUUCGGAUUGAGGGCUGUAACUCGCCCUCAUGAAGCUGAAUCCGUAUAAUCCGGCACAUCCCGUAUC
rnacentral:rRNA from 1 species